AAGUCGUAACAAGGUUUCCGUAGGUGAACCUGCGGAAGGAUCAUUACCACAUCCAAAAUCUUACAAACCCACAAAUGUGAAGUUAUGAUGAGGAACUUUUCCAAUCAUUUUUGAACCACUUUUGAACUCUUUAGAGUAAAAAGCAAGACUAAAAAACUUGAGAAAAGAGAAAACAACUUUUAACGGUGGAUCUCUUGGCUCGU
rnacentral:misc_RNA from 1 species